rnacentral:lncRNA from 1 species
GGGGGUGGUGGGCCCAUGGACCCCGAUCAGCAGCAUGUUGGAGCCAGCUUUGCUGCAGUCCACCAGGAAGGAACUCUUCUGGCCCACAAAGGCCUUUGAGAGCCCUGCCCCCUUAGAGGUCACCUUGCUGGCGUCCGAGGAUGCCUUGGGAAUGGCGCUAUAGCAGGUCUCUGUAGACGACCUGGUCACUGACUCCACCAGGAUGGAUGAGGUCUCGUUGGCUGAGCCAGGGCUAACUAGACGCUGGCCUGUCACCUUGGCCUUGAAGGGACUGCCCACGAUGUGGUUGGGCCCACCGUAUUUGACGCUGAUCAGGUAGUUACCAGGAGCCAUGGGGGUGUACAUGACUUUGUACCCUUCAGGUGUUUCCUGGCAAUCCAUUUUAACCUUGGAUGGGCCUUCGAUGGUGACGGAUAAUGUCCCUGGACCUGCUCGGGUGGUGUUAAUAAAGAAUUCCGACUGGAUACCUGUGGUGCCCCCUUCGAGUCCCGUGCCAUAGGCGGACACCAGGGCAGGGUUCCCCGCUUGUCCAGGCUCCCCAACGCGCACUUUGAAGGGGCUUCCAACCACGUGGCUCCCAUUGAACUUGACAUCGAUGGUGUGGACACCAUUCUCAUGAGGGAUGAAGCGAACAGCAUACUUAUCUAGGAGAAUGAGCAAAGGCACAGGGUGAAAUCAAGCAAAUGGACACCCCUGAGUUCAGUGAGGAUAAAGGAUGGAGGCCAAGCUGAGAUGGCCCAUUUAAAAUCAACAGUUCUACAGGGAGCCUGGCACUCAGCAUCCUGGAUUUCAGAACCAGACAGACCCCCUGGGUAUCCCUCAUCAGCCCCAAGGGAAACGCAUCCACAUUGCAAAUCCUAUAAACACAGGACAAGACUCUGACCCCUGCCUCAGAAGAACACUUCCUUUCUUUAGAAAACCUCACUUCUUCAGUGUGAAAUUCUGUGAAUGCUGUUACUAAUCCUGUCACGAGAUGAAUCUCAUUUCACCAAAAUUAAAUUAUGUUUUUCCACUAAAAUGAUGAUACAAGUUGAAGACACAGCACUCUGAAAUUGGAAGACCUCACCACUUAAGGCUCCGCAGCGGCUUACUCAGCUGAACUCCAGGUUACUACUCUUUACUUUGUUCACCCAUUGGGGAGUUCAGUUUGUUUUUAAACAUUGGGAGAUGGCCAUUCUAACUACUGUUCAAUGUCUCUGUUUUGGGAAGGCAUAACAAGAAAUAAAAAGGAAUAUAUAUGAAGGG